rnacentral:rRNA from 1 species
UACGAAGGGGGCUAGCGUUUGCUCGGAAUCACUGGGCGUAAAGGGUGCGUAGGCGGGUCUUUAAGUCAGGGGUGAAAUCCUGGAGCUCAACUCCAGAACUGCCUUUGAUACUGAAGAUCUUGAGUUCGGGAGAGGUGAGUGGAACUGCGAGUGUAGAGGUGAAAUGCGUAGAUAUUCGCAAGAACACCAGUGGCGAAGGCGGCUCACUGGCCCGAUACUGACGCUGAGGCACGAAAGCGUGGGGAGCAAACAGG